rnacentral:rRNA from 1 species
AUUUCUUCGGAAUGAAGUUUUAGUGACUGAGUGGCGGACGGGUGAGUAACGCGUGGGUAACCUGCCUCACACAGGGGGAUAACAGUUGGAAACGGCUGCUAAUACCGCAUAAGCGCACGGGAUCGCAUGAUCCAGUGUGAAAAACUCCGGUGGUACAGGAUGGACCCGCGUCUGAUUAGCUAGUUGGUGGGGUAACGGCCUACCAAGGCGACGAUGCGUAGCCGGACUGAGAGGUUGAUCGGCCACACUGGGACUGAGACACGGCCCAGACUCC